CCUCCUGUGUGAGCUGGGUCACUGCCUCUGCCCCUCCCCUGCCCCCUGCAGUGCCGGGACCCCUGGAGCUCCAGCUGAGCAGUCCCUGGGCAGAGACCAGGCUGGGAGCCAGGACUCCUGGGUUCUAUCCCUGGCUCUGGGACAGGAGUGGGGCCUAGUGGUGGGAGGGGGCUGGGAUACAGGACUCCUGGGUUCUCUUCCUGACUUUGUCACUGACUGUCUGGGUGACUUCUGAGUCAGUCAGUUCAUUCAGUGCCUUUGUGCCUCCAUUCUUCCAUCUGUGAACUAAAUUGUGAUGCUUGUGUAUAACUGCAGCUGUGAUUUGUGGGGUCACUUCGGGGGGAGGGGCUGCAUCUGGGGUGGCUGGGAAGUGGGGAGGUCAGGGCAGCAGCUGGCAUCGCUACCCCUGACUCUUUUUCCCUUUCAGGGCUCAUUGCAGCCAAGUCGCCCAUCAAUGCUCGGUUUGGGGAGGACGUCACCCUGAGCUGCCCCUUCCCGUCCCAGCCUGGGUUGAAGCUCCAGUACCUGACCGUCUCCUGGCAGAAGGAGCAGGUGGGGGCAGAGGACCUGGUGGUUCAUAGUUACUAUUACGGGAAGGACCAGCUGGUGAGACAGGACAAGGUUUAUAGGAACCGGACCUGGCUAGAUCCUGAGGGGCUGGCCCGGGGGAACGCAUCCCUGACGCUGAGGGGCGUCCGCACGCAGGACGAGGGCGUCUAUCGCUGCUAUGUUCAUUCUGAGCUAGAUGGGACUUUGCAAACUAUACAACUUACAGUGACUCAAACCAGCCACAUCCUGAACAAGCUGGCUGGGACUGCAGGAAAUGCUGCAGGGCUGGGUGGCAACUGGGUCCCUUUGCUGAGUCUCUGGCUGGUGCUGAUCAUACCCGUUCUCAGAUGACAUCACUAAAAUGCCCCCUGCAGACAAGUCCUGGCCGCCAGCGACACCUAGGCACUGGCCUCGCCAAAGAAACUGCUGUGUGGGAAACCAGAUCGGGGUACCAAGGGCUGCACUGAGAGAUCCCUGUGCGCGCAGACUGUAAGUGCUACAUGUCCGUGCUGGACACAAUGGGCUCAGCCCCCUGGAGACAUCUCCUGGGGGACGGGACCAGGGCUGCUUGUCAGGAUUCCCCAGGCAAUGAAGACUUUCUUUGUACAGAGCAGCUACAAACUCCACUUAGCACUCCAUUUAUUGUCCUUGGGCAAAAUUAGCCUCCAUAUUAACCACUGUGAUAUUGUUAUGAUUCAG